AUUACCUGAAUACAUAGGGUAAUGAAGCGAACCGGGAGAACUGAAACAUCUAAGUACCCCGAGGAAAAGAAAUCAAACGAGAUUCCCCCAGUAGCGGCGAGCGAACGGGGAGCAGCCCAGGACCUUAAUCAGCAUCAGUGUUAAGAGAACAGUCUGGAAAGGCUGGCCACAGCAGGUGAUAGCCCUGUAUCUGAAAGCACUGGUGUUGUGAGUCCGAUGAGUAAGGCGGGACACGUGUUAUCCUGUCUGAAUACGGGGGGACCAUCCUCCAAGGCUAAAUACUCCUGACUGACCGAUAGUGAACCAGUACCGUGAGGGAAAGGCGAAAAGAAC
rnacentral:rRNA from 1 species